rnacentral:rRNA from 1 species
CCUACGGGUGGCUGCAGUGAGGAAUAUUGGUCAAUGGCCGCAGGGCUGAACCAGCCAAGUCGCGUGAGGGAUGGCGGUCCUCUGGAUUGUAAACCUCUUUUGUCGGGGAGCAAAGGGCGCCACGUGUGGCGCUUUGCGCGUACCUUAAGAAAAAGCAUCGGCUAACUCCGUGCCAGCAGCCGCGGUAAUACGGAGGAUGCGGGCGUUAUCCGGAUUUAUUGGGGUUAAAGGGUGCGCAGGCGGAAUGUCAAGUCAGCGGUAAAAUUUCGGGGCUCAACCCCGUCGUGCCGUUGAAACUGGCGGUCUUGAGUGAGCGAGAAGUAGGCGGAAUGCGUGGUGUAGCGGUGAAAUGCAUAGAGAUCACGCAGAACUCCGAUUGCGAAGGCAGCAUACCGGAGCGCAACUGACGCUCAUGCACGAAAGCGUGGGUAGCGAACAGGAUUAGAUACCCCAGUAGUC